rnacentral:rRNA from 1 species
GACGAACGCUGGCGGCGUGCUUAACACAUGCAAGUCGAGCGAUGAAGUUCCUUCGGGAAUGGAUUAGCGGCGGACGGGUGAGUAACACGUGGGUAACUUGCCUCAUAGAGGGGAAUAGCCUUUCGAAAGGAAGAUUAAUACCGCAUAAGAUUGUAGUACCGCAUGGUACAGCAAUUAAAGGAGUAAUCCGCUAUGAGACGGACCCGCGUCGCAUUAGCUAGUUGGUGAGGUAACGGCUCACCAAGGCGACGAUGCGUAGCCGACCUGAGAGGGUGAUCGGCCACAUUGGGACUGAGACACGGCCCAGACUCCUACGGGAGGCAGCAGUGGGGAAUAUUGCACAAUGGGGGAAACCCUGAUGCAGCAACGCCGCGUGAGUGUUGACGGUCUUCGGAUUGUAAAACUCUGUCUUCAGGGACGAUAAUGACGGUACCUGAGGAGGAAGCCACGGCUAACUACGUGCCAGCCGCCGCCGUAA